UACGAAGGGGGCUAGCGUUGCUCGGAAUUACUGGGCGUAAAGCGCACGUAGGCGGAUCUUUAAGUCAGGGGUGAAAUCCUGGAGCUCAACUCCAGAACUGCCUUUGAUACUGAGGACCUUGAGUUCGGGAGAGGUGAGUGGAACUGCGAGUGUAGAGGUGAAAUUCGUAGAUAUUCGCAAGAACACCAGUGGCGAAGGCGGCUCACUGGCCCGAUACUGACGCUGAGGUGCGAAAGCGUGGGAGCAAACAGGG
rnacentral:rRNA from 1 species